CUUACUGUCAUGUGUUUGACAUCAAACACGCUUUUAAUCUGAAGUGUUAGUAAUUCGUAGUUAGAGAUAUCUGCUCAUACUUUGUUUUGAUUAUUGUUAGAGUUCGAUGGUUACUGCAUUGGAAGUACUUAGGUUUUAUGUCCCACAUUGGUUAGAUGAAAUAACAAGUACUUAGGUUUUUGAUAUAAAACAAGAGUUCAUUCUCUACGCAAAUCAUACCUUUCUCGGCCUUUUGGCUAAGAUCAAGUGUAGUAUCUGUUCUUAUCAGUUUAAUAUCUGAUAUGUGGACCAAUGGUUCACACGAUAUUAAAUUUAUUUUUUGAGGGGGAGAGUCCGCCACAAUAGCUUGCUAUUGGGUCUCUCAAGUGUCGCUUUUGUGUUGCACUAUUGCAAUUGCCUGGCACACCCCACCAAAGAAGUCUUAAGUUUUUUUGCCUUCUUUUCAUGGUUAAGUACUUAUUUCAAAAGCUUAUGAUGAAAGUGGCCUACAGGAGCGAAAAAAUUUGACGACUGCCGGUGCUUUUGCUGACGAUAAGAAUAAGAUGAGAAACAAGAAAGAGGUGAAGAAAGAGAUGGGUAACCAGGUCAGUGAAAGUCAGUCAACGAUUCUGACACCAUCCGAUUAUUUGUUAAAACAUUUGGCGAAUGCGGAAAUUAUGGAAAUCGAUACCAAUUAUUGUAAAAUGGCCUCUACUGCUGCCCUGCGCCGUAAAAAUAUAAUUUUAGGAAAAGAUGCAUUUCGAAAGGCAAUUAAUAAUUUGAGUAGAGCGGGACGACAAGAUUGUACAGGAGGGAUGCUUUUUUUUUUCCCUCAAAGGUGUUUGACGGUGAUGCACCUUGUUCCGGAGGCUGCUUGUUCCAAAAACAUGUUAGAUUUUAUAUUAAGAAAUUAUAUUCAUGGCAAACGACCUGACUCUGAGUUGGUAAGCCAGCAGCAAAAUUGGGGUAACAUAUCUAAAGAGCUCAAUAAAGUAAUUGAAAAUCCUUUGGAUAUCACUCCAAGACAACAAAAUAUAUUAAGUGAAGGCUGGACUCUUAUCAUGGAACAGUGAUCAAGCUGGAUAUACAAGAAAUUGAUGAGGAUGUCGAAGUUUUACCUAGCCAUUAUUCAGUUGAAGGUAAUCUGAGAGGAGCAGAUAUACAUGUUGUUUGUAACAAUUCAAGUUUAUAGUAUAGAAGGCUCAGUACUUGAUAUGUCUUUCACCUUGUCUUGGGAAAUGUUGCAUAUUGAACUCAUCAUCGCCAAGCCAAUUGUUUCUCAAUCCUAAGAAUUGAAAAAGAUAUCAAGCUGAUUUCUACUGCAUCUGUCCCUCCAUUUCAAUAUCAGUAUCACGACAUCGGUUUUGUUUCGCUUAUGAAUGCUUGUCUCCCAAAGGGAACUACAAUAUCCAAUGAUGAUGAGUUGAAAAAUGUUGAAUGUAUGGCAUCUAUAUCUUCUGGAGGCUUUCAUGACUUUGUUUUGAUGCUGCUUUUUUUCUUUGUUUUUGGAAGUUUUUUAAGGUUGAUAUGUAUCUACUUUGAAUGCUAUAAAGGAGGGAGUGGAUUUUUUGUACAAAUUGGUGUUCUUAGUGUUGUGAAUACUUAUAAGUCACUUACAUAUUAUCCAAAUUGGUGUUCUUGGUGUUCUUAGUGUUGUGAAUACUUAGUGUUUUGAAUCAUGUACUAGGUAUAUGUUUGAGUUGGAAAUAUUGAUAUACUUUCAUGUCCCAAAAAAAUGAAGGGAUUUUUUUAUCCUUCUAUGUGAAAAUAACAAUUGAAUACUUGAACAA